rnacentral:rRNA from 1 species
UACGGAGGAUUCAAGCGUUAUCCGGAUUUAUUGGGUUUAAAGGGUGCGUAGGCGGUCGGAUAAGUUAGAGGUGAAAUCUCGGGGCUCAACUCCGAAAUUGCCUCUAAUACUGUAGGACUAGAGAGUAGUUGCGGUAGGCGGAAUGUAUGGUGUAGCGGUGAAAUGCUUAGAGAUCAUACAGAACACCGAUUGCGAAGGCAGCUUACCAAGCUACUUCUGACGUUGAGGCACGAAAGCGCGGGGAUCGAACAGG